rnacentral:rRNA from 1 species
AUUUUGGCGGUAUUUUAAGCUUUUUAGAGGAAUUUGCUCUGUAAUGGAUAAAACGCCUAGAUCUUACUUAAUUUUGUUAAAUCAGUUUGUAUACCACUAUAUUUAAUUAUAUUAAAUGGUUAUAUUUAAGAUUUUUCUUUGGAAAAAGUAUAUUAAGUCAAGGUGCAGCAUAAAGUUAUGAAUGAAGUGAAUUACAUUGAUUUUUAUUAGAAAAUUUGAAAAAAAGAUUAGGAUUUAAAAGUAAAAUGCUAAUAUAAUGAGUAUUUGAAUUAAGCUCUAGAAUAUGCACACAUCGCCCGUCGCUCUCA